CACUGGGAGACAUGGGGACACUGGGAGACAUGGGGACACUGAGACACUAGGGACACUGGCUGGGAGACAUGGGGACACCGAGACACUUGGGGACAUUGUGUCCCUAGUGUCUCAGUGUCCCCAUGUCUCCCAGUGUCUCAGUGUCCCCAUGUGU